rnacentral:rRNA from 1 species
GUCAGCCUGCGUUGAAUCAAAUAGGCGUAGGUGGGGAACCGCCUGAACUGAAACAUCUAAGUAGGGCGAGGAAGAGAAAUCAACAGAGAUUCCGCAAGUAGUGGCGAGCGAACGCGGAAGAGGGCAAACCGGAGGAUUUAUCCUCCGGGGUUGUGGACUGACACAACGGUGAGAUAGGUUAGCUGAACGGUAUGGGAAGGCCGGCCAUAGCGGGUGAUAGCCCCGUAAGCGAAAGCUGAAUCUCAUUAGUCAGGAUCCAGAGUACCGCCGGACACGUGAAACCCGGUGGGAAACUGGGGGGACCACCCUCCAACCCUAAAUACUACCUGAUGACCGAUAGAGGAGCAGUACCGUGAGGGAAAGGUGAAAAGGACCCCGGGAGGGGAGUGAAACAGAACCUGAAACCUUGUGCUUACAAGCACUCAAAGCACGUUAACGUGUGAUGAGGUACCUUUUGUAGAAUGGUCCGGCGAGUUAUUGUUACUGGCAAGCUUAAGGUAUUCAGUACCGGAGGCGAAGGGAAACCGAGUGUUAAUAGCGCGCAUAAAGUCAGUGGCAAUAGACCCGAAACCGGGUGACCUAUCCAUGGGCAGGUUGAAGUGGGGGUAAAACCCCAUGGAGGACCGAACGCACGCCCGUUGCAAUGGUCGGCGAUGACCUGUGGAUAGCGGUGAAAUUCCAAUCGAACUCGGAGAUAGCUGGUUCUCCCCGAAAUAGCUUUAGGGCUAGCGUUAUCUUAGAUUGCCGGAGGUAAAGCACUGAAUGGGCUAGGGGCCGAUAAGGUUACUGAACCCUAUCAAACUCUGAAUGCCGGAUAAUUGAUGGAUAGCAGUCAGUCUACGUGAGAUAAGUCUCGUGGACAAAAGGGAAACAGCCCAGACCCACAGCUAAGGUCCCAAAUGUAUGCUAAGUGGAAAACGAUGUGGAGUUGCGAAAACAACCAGGAUGUUGGCUUAGAAGCAGCCACUCAUUAAAAGAGUGCGUAAUAGCUCACUGGUCGAGUGACUCUGCGCGGAAAAUAUAACGGGGCUAAGCAUGCAACCGAAGCUUGGGCUGCAUCGCAAGAUGCGGGGUAGGGGAGCGUCGUGUACGGGGUGAAGUCGCAGCGGAAGCAGCGGUGGACUUUACACGAGUGAGAAUGCCGGAAUGAGUAGCGAGAAUUAUGUGGGAAUCAUAAUGGCCGAAAAUCUAAGGUUUCCUGGGGAAGGUUCGUCCGCCCAGGGUAAGCCGGGAGCUAAGGCGAGGCCGAAAGGCGUAGUCGAUGCACAUACGGUUGAAAUUCCGUAGCCACCGAACCUUAAGCACACUGACACAUGGAGAUAGCGGGACCCGGGCGUUGGUUGACCCGGGCGUAAGGGACCGAAAUAAAGUAGGGAAGUCCGCGAUGCUCUGUGGCGAGAAAAGGUGUGUGGUAUGCUAAGGUGCCCGUACCGCAAACCGACACAGGUAGAUGAGGAGAGAAUCCUAAGGCCAACGGGAGAAGGGUUGUUAAGGAACUCGGCAAAAUGACCCCGUAACUUCGGGAUAAGGGGAGCCUCCUACGGGGGGCCGCAGCGAAUAGGCCCAAGCGACUGUUUACCAAAAACACAGGUCUCUGCUAAAUCGAAAGAUGACGUAUAGGGGCUGACGCCUGCCCGGUGCUGGAAGGUUAAGAGGAGAGCUUAGCGCAAGCGAAGGUUUGAAUCGAAGCCCCAGUAAACGGCGGCCGUAACUAUAACGGUCCUAAGGUAGCGAAAUUCCUUGUCAGGUAAGUUCUGACCCGCACGAAUGGCGUAACGACUUGGGCACUGUCUCAACAGCCCACCCGGCGAAAUUGUUGUACUGGUGAAGAAGCCAGUUACCCGCAACUAGACGGAAAGACCCCAUGGAGCUUUACUGUAGCUUAAUACUGGAAUUCGGUAAAUCAUGUACAGGAUAGGUGGGAGGCUUGGAAGCCAGGGCGUCAGC